GUCCUUGCUGUAACGAUGUAUACUUGAUGUAGUUGGACUUAAUCCUGACUGUGUCGAAGCUAACGCGGUAAGUAUACCGCCUGGGAGUACGCUCGCAAGGGUAAACUCAAAGAAUUGACGGGGCCCGCACAAGCAGUGGAGCAUGUGGUUUAAUUCGAUGCAACGCGAAGAACCUUACCCAGACUUGACAUAUAAUAGACGUUAGCAGAAAUGAUAACUCCCGCAAGGGCUGUUAUACAGGUGCUGCAUGGCUGUCGU
rnacentral:rRNA from 1 species